rnacentral:rRNA from 1 species
UACAGAGGGUGCGAGCGUUGUCCGGAAUCACUGGGCGUAAAGGGCGCGUAGGCGGCGCGGUAAGCGUGCGGUGAAAGCCCGGGGCUCAACCCCGGGUCGGCCGUGCGGACUGCCGGGCUGGAGCACUGUAGAGGCAGGUGGAAUUCCGGGUGUAGCGGUGGAAUGCGUAGAGAUCCGGAAGAACACCGGUGGCGAAGGCGGCCUGCUGGGCAGUGGCUGGACGCUGAUGCGCGACAGCGUGGG